rnacentral:rRNA from 1 species
CAAUGACCUCAGAUUGGACAGGGCUACCCGCUGAAUUUAAGCAUAUCAUUAAGCGGUGGAAAAGAAACUAAAAAGGAUUCCCCCAGUAACGGCGAGCGAAAAGGGAAGAGCUCAGCACUGAACCCUCUGUUCUUUAUGGGCAGCUGGGAAUGUGGUGUUUGGGAGGCUCAUUUCCUGCAGUUGGUAGCACAGCCCAAGUCCGUUGGAAUGCGGCUUCAUUUGCCCAUAGAGGGUGAGAGGCCUGUAUGGUUGUCGUCUGACUGUGGGUUGAGCUUUCCCUGGAGUCGAGUUGCUUGUGAGUGCAGCUCAAAGUGGGUGGUAAACUCCAUCUAAAGCUAAAUAUGGCUACGAGACCGAUAGCGAACAAGUACCGUGAGGGAAAGUUGAAAAGAACUUUGAAGAGAGAGUUCAAGAGUGCGUGAAACUGUUCAGAGGUAAACGGCUGGAACAAGCUGUGGAUCAUUGGGUACUCUCUGGGAUUCAAACAUGUUUACUGAGGUCUCUUUCAGACAACUGGAGUCAGGGCUUGCUCUGUUCUCUGUGUCGGGUUGAGUCUCACAUAGUAAGCUGGAUCACCAGUCUUCUCCCAUGCCACUGCCACAGCCAGUUGGGACUUUAAAUUUUCUCUGGUUACUCGGGUGGAGCUGAGUGUCAGUCCUGCCUUCGGAUGGGAUUUGGCGUCUCAACCUCUGGGGAUACCGCUGGGAGAAUCCUGACUGCAGUUGAAAAACUGCUAGGUUGGUGCAUCGUCUCUGUUGAGAUUGCAUGCAGUGUGUAAUGUUGGGGUUCUGGGUGUCUAGCCGAUAACGCCAUUCACCUGGUCAAUCUCCUUCAUAUCUGCACUUGCUGCUUCUUGCAAACAGAUGCACGUGUGGCAUUUAUUGCUAUGUUCUAUCCGACCCGUCUUGAAACACGGACCAAGGAGUCUAACUUGUGCGCAAGUAAUUGAGUUAUUGUUGAAAGCUCAAAUGCGAAAUGAAAGUGAAAUGCUUGCCUUGUUGCAAGCUGUUGGAUGAUCCCUGGUUUAGCCCUUUAUUGGGAAGGCCUGGGCGCAAUCCAUGGGCAUCGUGAUUGCUUUAUUGCCAAUCUGGUGCACCACGAGCGCACAAGUUGGUACCCGAAAGAUGGUGAACUAUGCCUGGCAAGGGUGAAGCCAGGGGAAACUCUGGUGGAGGCCCGUUUGGAUUCUGACGUGCAAAUCGAUCUUCAAAGCAGGGUAUAGGGGCGAAAGACUAAUCGAACUAUCUAGUAUCUGGUUCCUCCUGAAGUUUCCCUCAGGAUAGCUGGUAAUCGUAAAUGGUAUGACAUGUUUCAUCCGGUAAAGCGAAUGAUUAGAGUCUUUGGGGGCGAAAUGACCUCAAGCUAUUCUCAAACUUUAAAUGGGUGAGAAGCCGGGCUUACUUGAAUGAAGCCAUAACGGCAUGUUGAAAUGAAUGAUUACCUAGUGGGCCAUUUUUGGUAAGCAGAACUGGCGCUGUGGGAUGAACCAAACGUUGAGUUAUGGCGCCUGAAUGAACGCAAAUCUGAUCCCAUGAAGGGUGUUGGUUGCUCUAGACAGCAGGACAGUGGCCAUGGAAGCUGGAAUCUGCUAAGGAGUGCGUAACAGCUCACCUGCCGAAGCAACCAGCCCUGAAAAUGGAUGGCGCUUUAGCGUUCUGCCUAUACUCAACCGCUAGAAUGGAGCUGGCACUUCGGUGCAGAGCCCGUAAAUUCUAGUGAGUAAGGAGGUGUGAUGGUAAGCGUUGAAGGGUCUGGGUGUAAACCUGCCUGGAGCUGCCAUCGGCACAGAUCUUGGUGGUAGUAGCAAAUACUCAAGUGAGAUCCUUGAGGGCUGACGUGGAGAAGGGUUCCAUGUGAACAGCAAUUGCACAUGGGUGAGUCGUUCCUAAGCCAAAGGCGAAAGCCACGCUCAUAAACUUGUGGCCACAUGAAUCUAAAAUUUCAUGGGGACUUGUCCUGUUUGAUCAUGGCAGAAGCAGCACCGAAUGGGUAGGCUACCCUCAAGUGCUAGUGGAACCGGGUAAUGAUCAUGAGGGACUCGACCCUGAUGUUAUUUCUUUCGAGUGAGCCUGCAAGGAGUUUGGCGAAAGGGAAUCCGGUACUCAUUCCGGAACCUGGACAUGAGGAGUAGUGUUGCUUUAUGCAUCACAUAGCCGCAAGGCAUUUACCAUCCUGGAGAAUCCAACCAGAGAGCCGGGAAGAGUUGUCUUUUCUGCUUAAGGGGAAGAGGGCCUUGUGAACUGGGUCGGUCAGAGAGAGGGUCUUUUCCCCGAAUAGCACCGCGGUUCUUGCGGAGUCCAGCUCCUCUGGUAUGGAACUUGAAAAUCCAGGGGUAAGAUGAAAUACCUUCAUGCCAGUUCGUACCCAUAUCCGCAUCUGGUCUCCAAGGUGAACAGCCUCUUGCCGAUAGAUGAAUGUAGGUAAGGGAAGUCGGCAAGCCAGAUCCGUAACUUCGGGAAAAGGAUUGGCUCUGAGGAAUGAGCCGGUCGGGCUUGGAUGG